UACGUAGGGUGCAAGCGUUGUCCGGAAUUAUUGGGCGUAAAGAGCUCGUAGGCGGUCUGUCGCGUCUGCUGUGAAAACUCAGGGCUUAACCCUGAGCUUGCAGUGGGUACGGGCAGACUAGAGUGCGGUAGGGGAGACUGGAAUUCCUGGUGUAGCGGUGGAAUGCGCAGAUAUCAGGAGGAACACCGGUGGCGAAGGCGGAUCUCUGGGCCAUUACUGACGCUGAGGAGCGAAAGCGUGGGGAGCGAACAGG
rnacentral:rRNA from 1 species